GUUAGGAAUAUUGGACAAUGGGCGAAAGCCUGAUCCAGCCAUGCCGCGUGAACGAUGAAGGCCUUCGGGUUGUAAAGUUCUUUAGCCGAUGAUUAUAAUGACUGUAGACGGAAAAUAAGCCCCGGCUAACUUCGUGCCAGCAGCCGCGGUAAUACGAAGGGGGCGAGCGUUAUUCGGAAUCACUGGGCGUAAAGCGUGCGUAGGCGGUUUUGUAAGUUAGGAGUGAAAGCCCAGGGCUCAACCUUGGAAUUGCUCUUAAAACUGCAAGGCUCGAAUCUCGGAGAGGAUAGCGGAAUUUCCAGUGUAGCAGUGAAAUGCGUAGAUAUUGGAAGGAACACCAGUGGCGUAAGCGGCUAUCUGGACGAGUAUUGACGCUGAGGCACGAAAGCGUGGGGAUCAAACAGGAUUAGAUACCCGUGUAGUCC
rnacentral:rRNA from 1 species